UACAGAGGUCUCAAGCGUUGUUCGGAUUCAUUGGGCGUAAAGGGCGCGUAGGUGGCGCCGUAAGUCAGGUGUGAAAUUUCGGAGCUUAACUCCGAAACUGCAUUUGAUACUGCGGUGCUUGAGGACUGGAGAGGAGACUGGAAUUCACGGUGUAGCAGUGAAAUGCGUAGAUAUCGUGAGGAAGACCAGUGGCGAAGGCGGGUCUCUGGACAGUUCCUGACACUGAGGCACGAAAGCCAGGGGAGCAAACGGG
rnacentral:rRNA from 1 species